AAAAAAAAGAAAAAAAAGAAAAAAAAAAAAAGAAAUUCAGUCUUGGGUUAAUUGACUAGCCUCCAGCGGUGGAUCAUUAGGAUAAUACCCCUAACAUUGUUUUCACUUCCCACUGUCUAUGUCUAUUCCCUUUAAGUAGUCAGUCUUUCCCUGCAGCCGCACCACCGUUGAGCUUAGUCGUGUGAUUGUUUCUGACCAAUGGGAUAAUAGCAAAUCAGGUGCAAACGGAGGCUUGACAAGUGCUUGUGCAUUGCGCAUGCCUUUUCUUCCUGCUGCGAAUCAUUCCGCCACAAGUGAGCGAGCCUGUGCUGGCCUUGCGGAAGCCCAGCCGAGGCCUCAGAAUUUGGAUGAGAUCGUGUGAGACCAUCCACCCGAGGAAGCCAGCAAAGUGGCUAGAACCCGCCAUACGCCCGCAGAAUCACAAUUGCUGUUCUAAGCCACUACAUUUCAGGUGACUUGUUGAGCAGCAAACAAGAGCUGACGAACCUGAAGUCAGAAAAUGCUAGCGGAAGAAACAGGACCCAGAACUCCAUUGGAAAAUGGGGUAUACAGACUUCGAGGAUGCCAGACAAAGAGAUCAUUUGAAAUAUUGUUGUCACUAAGCCUUCUUUGAUCAAGACACCAUGAGCUCAUG